GUGGGGAUGACGUCAAGUCCUCAUGGCCUUUAUGGCCAGGGCUACACACGUACUACAAUGGCCGGUACAAAGGGCAGCGACAUUGCGAGAUGGAGCGAAUCCCGAAAAGCCGGUCUCAGUCCGGAUUGGAGUCUGCAACUCGACUCCAUGAAGUUGGAAUCGCUAGUAAUCGUGGAUCAGCAUGCCACGGUGAAUACGUUCCCGGGCCUU
rnacentral:rRNA from 1 species